rnacentral:rRNA from 1 species
AUUGAACGCUGGCGGCAGGCCUAACACAUGCAAGUCGAGCGGAUGAAGGGAGCUUGCUCCUGGAUUCAGCGGCGGACUGGUGAGUAAUGCCUAGGAAUCUGCCUGGUAGCGGGGGAUAACGUCCGGAAACGGGCGCUAAUACCGCAUACGUCCUUACGGAGAACGUGGGGGAUCUUCGGACCUCACGCUAUCAGAUGAGCCUAGGUCGGAUUAGCUAGUUGGUGGGGUAAAGGCCUACCAAGGCGACGAUCCGUAACUGGUCUGAGAGGAUGAUCAGUCACAAUGGAACUGAGACAAGGUCCAGAAUCCUAAGGGAGGCAGCAGUGGGGAAUAUUGGACAAUGGGGGAAAGCCUGAUUCAGGCAAGACGCGUGUGGGAAGAAGGGCUUCGGAUUGUAAAGCACUUUAAGUUGGGAGGAAGGGGAGUAAGGUAAUAACUUGCUGUUUUGACGUGAACAACAGAAUAAGCAACGGCUAACUUCGUG